UACGAAGGGUGCUAGCGUUGUUCGGAUUUACUGGGCGUAAAGAGCGCGUAGGCGGCUUGGCAAGUCGGAUGUGAAAUCCCGGGGCUCAACCCCGUGACUGCACCCGAAACUGCCCGGCUAGAGGUAGGUAGGGGAGAUCGGAAUUCCUGGUGUAGCGGUGAAAUGCGCAGAUAUCAGGAGGAACACCGGUGGCGAAGGCGGAUCUCUGGGCCUUACCUGACGCUCAGGCGCGAAAGCUAGGGGAGCAAACAGG
rnacentral:rRNA from 1 species